rnacentral:rRNA from 1 species
AUUGAACGCUGGCGGCAGGCUUAACACAUGCCAUUCGAGCGAGCGGCGGACGGGUGAGUAAUGUCUGGGAAACUGCCUGAUGGAGGGGGCUAACUACUGGAAACGGUAGCUAAUACCGCAUACCCUCAGAUGUGCCCAGAUUGGAUUAGCUAGUAGGUGGGGUAAUGUCUCACCUAGACGACGAUCCCUAGCUGGUCUGAGAGGAUGACCAGCCAAGAUGGAACUGAGACACGGUCCAGACUCCUCCGGGAGUCAGCAGUGGGGAAUAUUGCACAAUGGGCGCAAGCCUGAUGCAGCCAUGCCGCGUGUGUGAAGAAGGCCUUCGGGUUGUAAAGCACUUUCAGCGAGGAGGCGUUACUCGCAGAAGAAGCACCGGCUAACUCCGUUCCAGCAGCCGCGGUAAUAC